rnacentral:rRNA from 1 species
CGGAGGGUGCAAGCGUUAUCCGGAUUUAUUGGGUUUAAAGGGUGCGUAGGCGGUAUUUUAAGUCAGUGGUGAAAUGUUGCAGCUUAACUGUAGAGUUGCCAUUGAAACUGAAGUACUUGAGUUAUCUUGAGGUAGGCGGAAUGUGUAGUGUAGCGGUGAAAUGCUUAGAUAUUACACAGAACACCGAUUGCGAAGGCAGCUUACUAAGGAUAAACUGACGCUCAGGCACGAAAGCGUGGGGGAUCGAACAGGAUUAGAUACCCUGGUAGUCCACGCCGUAAACGAUGAUGACUCGCUGUUGGCGAUACACAGUCAGCGGCUUAGCGAAAGCGUUAAGUCAUCCACCUGGGGAGUACGCUCGCAAGAGUG